CAUUCAGAUUUGUCUGUUGGCUGCCUGAUACUGUCCAAUGGCAUAUGUUUCUGUUUUUAUGCCAGUUGCUUGCUGCCUCAGUAAGUGUAACUUUUCGAUGUAAUUUGACAUUGGGGAGCAUGAGGCAUUCAAGUGAGUUUCUAUUUCUGGAAAAUGCUUUGGGUUUUCAGGGUCUUCCAUGGUUCUAUGUGAAUUUUGCCAUUGUUCAUUUAUAGAUUUAAAACUGGGUUUGUCAUACAUGUCCAAAAUUAGGGAGUACAGUGGGAUUUUUUUUACUUGCGUACUUUGAGGAAUGAUGAAGUCAGGGUGUUUUGCAUAUCUAUUCCCAUGUCUAGUUUUUAUUUGUGAUGUGAACCUUCAAUUUUCCUCUCCUUUCUAGCUCUGUUGAAAGAGAUCCUACCAUAUUGUUACUUGUAGUCACCCUCCUGUGGAGUAGAUCACCAGCAUUAAUUCCUCCCCAGAAGUGCAACUUGGUACCUAUUACCAAUGCCAGCCCAUGCUCUGUCCUCCCAACAGCAUCUGAUAACCAUUGUACUUUCACUUUCCAUUAGAUAAUUCUUUUUUAGUCUCCUCAUGGGUGAGAUGAUGCAGUGUUUGUCUUUCCCUGCCUCACUGAUUCCGUUGAAUAUAACGUCUUCCAAGUUUAUCCGUGUUGCCACAAUGGACGUUCUGUCAUUGAUGUUUGUUGAUGGGGCGUAUUUCGUUGUUUCUGUAUGCUGAAGUUCCUUCAUCUCUUCAUCAGUUGAUGGACAGGUGCAGCCGUGUUGUGGGAAAUGAAAAAUGCCCUGAAUUUUGAUGGCUGAAAAGUAUUCCAUUGUGCCUGUGUCCUGGAGAUUCUUCAUCCCUUCAUCUGUGAAUGGACAGGACUGGGUGGAGGACCUGAAGACAUGAGAUUUAUGCACAGGUCAAAGAGAAGAUUCCCACCAUUGCUGAUGCACACAAAAGCGUUUCUCCAAGUGGUUGCAGAUGACAUGAUUUCCUGAAGUGUUACAGCUGAUGUGUGUUUCCUUGUGUAUAUGUACUGUGGUUCCUUUAUCCCUUCAUCUGUGGAUAGACAGGUGCAACCGUGUGGUUCCCCAUGAUAGGAUUUCAUUGUGGUUUUCUGUCUGAAGAGUAUCCCAGGGUGUACAUGUGGAGCAGCUUCUUUAUCCCUUCGUCUGUGGAUAAGCAGGUUUCUGCAUGUUGCUGCAGAUGACAUGGUUUCGUGAAUUUCUGUGGCCGAAGAGGAUUCCAUUGUGUACUGCAGUUUCUUUAUCCCUUCAUCUGUGCAUGAACAGGUAGGUUGAUUGGAUACCUUUGCUAUUGUGAAUAGUGCUUCAGUCGCCAUAGGAAGGCCGAUAUCUCUUCAACAUAACAGAUUCCAUGUGCUUUCUGUGUAUAACUGACGGUGGGAUUGCUAGGUGAAUGGGUAGUUUUAAUGUCAAAUGUUUAAGGCACCUUCAACUGCUUUGCUUCGUGUGUAAAAUAAUGUACAUUCCCAGUCUUUUUCUGCAUUUCUACGUUGGCCUCUGCCUGUGAACGUAUGGGUUGUGUUGGGUUUUUUUUGUUUUGUUUUGUUUUGGUUUGGGUUUUUUUUGGUAAGUUUCAUUCUAAUUAAAGUGAGAGGUAUUUGAGUGUGAUUUAUACUUAGACAUUUGUGUGAGGAUUAGAUGUAGAGUGGAGGAGGACAGGGAGAUCUGGGAAGCCAUGGUGCUGUGGUGGGUCUCUCAGUGGCCAGCUGUGACCCCAGCCUCCCCUCUCCUUUGCAGGGAACCUAAGUCUCCAUUUACAGAACUCACUAUAUGCCUCUUACAGGGGAAGUCCCCAGAUGUCAGCCUUCUUGUGGGAAUUAUAAGAAGUAUGAGCCCCAGGGCUCUUUUAGCGUCUCCCCAGCCAGAGUCCACAUCUUUUCCCCCAUGUUUUGUGGGUGAAAACGCCUUUCAGAAUCCUAAAUUCACCCAGUGUAUACUUGUUGCUGGGUUCCGUCAUUCUAGUCAGAAUCUGGGAGGAUGCCACCAUAUGUAGAGGAGGCCAUGAGGGUUUCACCUCUAACAUUCUGUAGAUACGACCUGUUUAUUCCGUCUCCUGUGAAUGCCUGACUCAGUAGAGUCGAUACUGAGGGAUUGCCAUCGGCUUUGUUUAUCAAAUUAUGCCAAACCACAAGAAGAGCGAUGCAAAAAAUGAGGUGUUUUGUAUGUAUGUGUUGAAUGAGUGAACCCCAACCGUUGGUGAACCCCAUUGAGCCUCUCCAGAUGUCUGAGUGGGCCUGUGGCUCUCUUUUCAGCACCAAGUGUCCCUUCUUCCGUCUGUGCCAAGGAGAGAGACCAGCCAGAAAGAAUCUCAGACAUCCUUACCAGUUCCAUCUUAGACUUGCUAUUCUAUGUGCUUUUCCAAACAUCGAGGGAUAUGGGCCAUUGAGACAGAAUGCUGAGAGCUACUUCAGUGAGGGGGAAGAGAAAAGUAAUAAACAUGAAUCACAGCACCUCCAGCAGAUACCCAGAGUUUUAGGCUCUAGGGACCCCUUUUUUUUGCCGUGUCUUAGAUCAUUCAGUCCCUACAAGAACCCUGUAGGUUCAUCUUCUCACUACUCCUUGUUCCAGAGGAGCCAGCCAAGUCUCUGAGAGCUGCAUCUUCAAGGCACAGCCAGUAGGGGACAGAAGCACCUCCAUGCCUUGGAGGGGAUGGGCACUCACCUUCUAACCAGUAGUUCCAAAAAGUGUGGCACGGUGAUAAAGUCCCAGGAGGGGCCCAGGCAGGUGGCAUAGGAGGAGAUGGGUUUAGUUAGCAAGGCUGGAACCAGGGAGUCCAACAGCUUCUCCCCUGUGCCGGGGUGGAAAGUUGACAUCCUGGAGAUCUGAUUUUCAUACUAGGGGGACAAGGAGGGACAUGGGAGUCAGUGGUAACACCAUGAACCACCAGAGGAUCGGGAUCUGGAACUCACACCAAGAAGCAUCAACCCUUCAGGGACUUGUGCAUGUGGAGAACCUGGGUGCCCAUGGUGAAAACGGUUCUAGGCUUUCAAGGUAAAAUUGCAUGUGAGGAUGGAGAGUGAUAAAUGAUUCUUGCUUUCAAGGCGUUAUCACGGUGUUUGUUAGCUGUGGGGCAAUGGCACCCUGUGAAUCAGCAGCCUGCAUGAAGAGCAUCAUCCCUGCAAUCCUCACAAAUCACCCUCAUGGUAGAGAAGAGACACGGGCUUUUGGAUUUCACAUGGCUGCUGAACAGCACCUGGGUCAGAAGGGAGCACCUUUCACAGGGAGGACUGCAUGAAAUUCCCUCUAGGCCACCUGAGGCUCCACCUCUGAUAUGGAGGGAAAGGGCCUGGGGAGGCCUGGUCCCCUCUUCUUUUUAGCAGCAAGGCACAGGACAAGACGCUGUAGUAGAAGAACCUUUUGACUUAAAGGGAUAGGAUUGUUUUUGUUCUUUCAACAUGAACGUGAGUCUGGAGAAACAGCUAUGGCCAUCCCAGCCCUGGGCAAGGGGAAAAUGCCGGAAAACUCCAGGGUGGGAGGGAGCACAUUCCAAGGCCCAGGAUCUGCCAGGCGACUGGGGAAGAGAAAACGCAGGCAGGUAUGGAACCUGUGAAAGGUUACGCAAAUGUACGUUUGAAACUGGAAAUGAAACAAGGUGAUUUUCUCUGCCACAUGAACAACAGAUUGGCAAAACGUUAAAGCAUGUUAGUAUUCAGGGGAGGCUGUGUUCAGAGAAGCAGCUACCUUCAGAGGCUGCUGGUGACUGUGUGACCAGCUGGAACUCUUUUGGACAGUCAACUGGCUAGAGAUGUUGAAACUUGAUGACUGCAUAUCCUUUCACCCAGAUAUCCCUUUCCCGGGUGUCUGUCUUCCGCAGGGGAUUUGUGUAUUUUAUGGAUUGAAUUGUGUCCCCUCCCCCAAAUGUAAAUGUUUCUAUUCUCAA